CACAAAACUUAACCUGAUCGCUUUCCGCCCACAGCAAAGUUUAUAUUUAGUAUCCAAUCAAAACGUCGCAGGAGAAAUUUAAAUUUCACACAACGACAACAAUCUAAUUACAGCAUAGCAGCCCACUAAACGGCUGAAUUUAAAUUAAAACUGCAAUGAACUUAUAAAAUUAACAAAAAUAAUCACAAAUUAGCGAAACAUAUUGCAAUUGUAGCUUAUAUUAAAUCGCCACCCGAUUGCUCUCUCCUCCGCAGAGGUUUCAGUGAC